UACGUAGGGUCCGAGCGUUGUCCGGAAUUACUGGGCGUAAAGAGCUCGUAGGUGGUUUGUCGCGUUGUUCGUGAAAACUCACAGCUUAACUGUGGGCGUGCGGGCGAUACGGGCAGACUUGAGUACUGCAGGGGAGACUGGAAUUCCUGGUGUAGCGGUGGAAUGCGCAGAUAUCAGGAGGAACACCGGUGGCGAAGGCGGGUCUCUGGGCAGUAACUGACGCUGAGGAGCGAAAGCGUGGGGGAGCAAACAGG
rnacentral:rRNA from 1 species